GGGCUGCCGAAGGUCUCCUAGCCUUCGGGCCAGUGCCCGCCGAUCCUCCGGGAGCCAGGUCCGCGAUCUCCGGCGCCCGCCGUGGGCUCGGGAAAGCGCACAGCGCACUACUUGUCGCGGAGGGAUCCGGCCCCUGAGUUACCUGUUCUCCACUCGGAGCUGACCUCGGCCCAAGGGCCCGCAAGUCCGCCUCACCGAGAAGUAAUACAGGUUCGGAUCCGCGCAGCCGACCUCACAAUGGCGCGGGCGUCCAGCCACUGUCACGCAGCAUCCGGUGCGAUUAUUCGCCCAGAGCCUCACUGCUUAGGGGACCGCGGCGGGGCCCUUCUCCCUCUCGAUCAUUCAGAAGAUGAGAACGUCCCCGCACGACACAACGACGCUGUUUUAACAAUACCCAACUAACUGUGCUCUUCCAAACUGCACACACUUAAAGGUGACAUGGCCACAGACGCUGGGUUGCAAUACUACGCUGGAAUUCUGCACUAAUUAUUUGAAAGCUUUCUUACAGUACUACAGCGAAACGACCGGUUACAAACCUUUCAUUUUCGUUCGAACACCGUACUCUUUAACCAAUGGAUAUUUUGUGAAUACUUCUAUUCAGUAUCUCUAGAUUUUUAAAAAAAUGUAAAGAAAGACAUUACCAAAUGAGUGGUUCAUCAGUGAAAUAAUUUGUUUUGCCUUUAAAUUUUAGCCUUUUUGGAAGGCAAAUUAUUUGCAGUAUGCACAGAUAUAAAUUUUGUACAUUUAAAAUAGCCUGUAUAGCUUUUUUGUCGUUCUUUCUUGAAGCCCCUCCCACUCUGGAGAUUCUUUCGCUUCUAUUAAUUUUAAGUCUGGUUAAAAAAAUAGUGCUUGAGGCCAGCCUGGUCGACAGAGUGAGUUCCAGGACAGCCAGGGUUAAAAGAGAAACCCUGUCUCAAAAAAAAAAAACAAAAACAACAAAAAAAGUAGUGCUUAAAUUAAACAUAAAAACAAUUAGCAUUUACAUUUGAAUAAUGCUUCUUCAUGUUUAUUACCAUGUACAUUACUAGGAACUGGAAGUCCAACCUUGUAAAAAAUUAAAAUUUAACAAGACAGGCCUUUAUAGUGAAGUUAUUGUCUUUUCAUUAUAACUCAUUUUUUACAGCCAGCUAAUUUUCCAGAGGGAAUUACUGUUCCUAUCUUUAGUCAAUUUGGUUAAGAAUUCUCUGCCUUUAAAUAUAUAAAAAUGUUUGUGUAUGAUUUUAUUUUUCUGUGAGAGCAUUAAGGUUAGAGGACAACUUGUGGGCAUGCUAUUCUUUUACCUAGGAAUGGAAGGCAUUUCCAACCUUGUGACAGGGUCUCAUGUAUCCUUAGAUAGCCUGUAACUCACCUGUAUAGAUCACAUUGACUGAAAUUUCAGAGAUUCUUCUGCCCCUCUAUUCCUGGGAUUAAAGGUGUACAACACUGCCACCAGCAUUAAAAAUU
rnacentral:lncRNA from 1 species